rnacentral:rRNA from 1 species
GAUUGAACUGAAGAGUUUGAUCCUGGCUCAGAUUGAACGCUGGCGGCAUGCUUUACACAUGCAAGUCGAACGCGAAAGGGGGGCAACCCCCGAGUAGAGUGGCGAACGGGUGAGUAAUACAUCGGAACAUAUCCUGUAGCGGGGGAUAACCUCGAGAAAUCGAGGCUAAUACCGCAUACGUCCUACGGGAGAAAGCGGGGGAUCGCAAGACCUCGCACUAUAGGAGUGGCCGAUGUCGGAUUAGCUAGUUGGCGGGGUAAAAGCCCACCAAGGCUACGAUCCGUAGCUGGUCUGAGAGGAUGAUCAGCCACACUGGGACUGA